rnacentral:lncRNA from 1 species
CUGACAUAACAGACAGAAUAUUAAAUACAAAUUUUAGAAAUAUUUUGCAUGUGACCGCGUCAAACUAAAAUGUAUGCAGCAGCACUUGAGAUAGCAUUCUGCUAAUCAAUGGAUUUACGUGGAAAAUAAAUCAGUAAAAUAAAAAUAACCGUAAGCUUCAAGAAAUAGAAUACAUGUAAAAAUAUAUAUGUUUAAACAAUUUAUGCAAACAAAUAACAAAAAGAUACAAAAAAAAAAAACACACGAAAAGGAACAUAAAAUAAAAAUAAUUUUUAGGAACAAAGAAAAUAAAUAUUAACAGUUGAAAUAUCAAAACCAUAAUUAACAAAAAUAGGCUAUUUUUAUUAAACAAUGUUUUCUCCAGUACUUCACCUGUAAAAAUAUUUUAUGUCAAAUACGAUGUAGAACUAAUAUAAUCAAUAAAGUGACUGAGAGGUUAAAAUUACAGGUAAUCUGAUUCUGAAAUCAGUGAACCGUAAUUUUAGCAACACGGAUUAAGAUGAAAGGACCAUUCACACCUGGAUCUGUUGUUUAAUGAACAUACUACCUACCAUAAAAAUGUCCGAUUAUUCAUAUCCGACUAGACGGAUUAAGACAUCCAUAAAAAUAAGUCCCUACCCGUACUGUAUGCACCCUUCACAACAUA